GGGCUCGUAGCUUAGCCAGUCACGUCUGGAUGACCAACGUGGGUAAGGUUAGAGCAUCGGGCUUUUAACCCGAGGGUCGCGGGUUCAAGUCCCGCCGAGCCCGCCA
rnacentral:tRNA from 1 species